rnacentral:rRNA from 1 species
GCAAGUCGAACGGCAGCACAGUAAGAGCUUGCUCUUAUGGGUGGCGAGUGGCGGACGGGUGAGGAAUGCAUCGGAAUCUACUCUUUCGUGGGGGAUAACGUAGGGAAACUUACGCUAAUACCGCAUACGACCUACGGGUGAAAGCCGGGGACCUUCGGGCCUGGCGCGAAUGAAUGAGCCGAUGCCCGAUUAGCUAGUUGGCGGGGUAAGAGCCCACCAAGGCGACGAUCGGUAGCUGGUCUGAGAGGAUGAUCAGCCACACUGGAACUGAGACACGGUCCAGACUCCUACGGGAGGCAGCAGUGGGGAAUAUUGGACAAUGGGCGCAAGCCUGAUCCAGCCAUACCGCGUGGGUGAAGAAGGCCUUCGGGUUGUAAAGCCCUUUUGUUGGGAAAGAAAAGCAGCCGGUUAAUACCCGGUUGUUCUGACGGUACCCAAAGAAUAAGCACCGGCUAACUUCGUGCCAGCAGCCGCGGUAAUACGAAGGGUGCAAGCGUUACUCGGAAUUACUGGGCGUAAAGCGUGCGUAGGUGGUUGUUUAAGUCUGUCGUGAAAGCCCUGGGCUCAACCUGGGAAUUGCGAUGGAAACUGGGCGACUAGAGUGUGGCAGAGGAUAGUGGAAUUCCUGGUGUAGCAGUGAAAUGCGUAGAGAUCAGGAGGAACAUCCGUGGCGAAGGCGACUGUCUGGGCCAACACUGACACUGAGGCACGAAAGCGUGGGGAGCAAACAGGAUUAAUACCCUGGUAGUCCACGCCCUAAACGAUGCGAACUGGAUGUUGGGUGCAAUUUGGCACGCAUAUCAAGCUAACGCGUUAAGUUCCCGCCUGGGG